AGAGUUUGAUCCUGGCUCAGGAUAAACGCUGGCGGCGUGCCUAACACAUGCAAGUCGUACGUCCUCUGUUCCCGCGAGGGAAGAGAGGGAGUGGCGGACGGGUGAGUAACACAUGGGUACCUGCCUCACAGUGAGGAAUACCUCCGAGAAAUCGGGGACAACACCGCAUACGCUUCUUCACGGAAGCAAAGCUCGCAAGAGCGUCUUGGGAUGGGCCUGCGCCUGAUUAGCUGGUUGGUGGGGUAAGAGCCUACCAAGGCGACGAUCAGUAGCUGGUCUGAGAGGAUGAUCAGCCACACUGGGAUUGAGAACGGCCCAGACUCCUACGGGGGGCAGCAGUGAGGAAUUUUCGUCAAUGGAGGCAACUCUGAACGAGCAACGCCGCGUGCAGGAUGACCCUUUUCGGAGCGUAAACUGCUUUUCUCGGGGAAGAGAACGGACGGUACCCGAGGAAGAAGCCUCGGCUAACUACGUGCCAGCAGCCGCGGUAAUACGUAGGAGGCGAGCGUUGUCCGGAGUUACUGGGCGUAAAGCGCACGCAGGCGGUGCACCAAGUCUGGAGUGACAGCGCUCGGCUUAACCGAGCAGGGUCUUUGGAAACUGGUGGACUUGAGGGCUUCAGAGGAAUGCGGAACUCCGGGUGGAGUGGUGAAAUGCGUAGAUAUCCGGAAGAACACCAAAGGCGAAGGCAGCAUUCUGGGAAGUACCUGACGCUCAGGUGCGAAAGCCAGGGGAGCGAACGGGAUUAGAUACCCCGGUAGUCC
rnacentral:rRNA from 1 species